UGCACUUGUGUUUGUUUUUGUCUUCCUUGUGGACAAAGCCUUAUAGACAUGUAUAAAAAAUAAAUAACUUUAUGACUCAGAACUCAUUGUUCAACAUGAGUUUGACAUAUAUAAGCUGGAAUAUU
ensembl:snoRNA